GGGCCCGCACAAGCGGCGGAGCAUGUGGCUUAAUUCGAUGCAACGCGAAGAACCUUACCUGGGUUUGACAUGCAGGGAAAUCUCAUAGAGAUAUGGGGUCCGUAAGGGCCUUGCACAGGUGGUGCAUGGCUGUCGUCAGCUCGUGUCGUGAGAUGUUGGGUUAAGUCCCGCAACGAGCGCAACCCUCGUCCUAUGUUGCCAGCGAGUAAUGUCGGGGACUCAUAGGAGACUGCCGGGGUCAACUCGGAGGAAGGUGGGGAUGACGUCAAGUCAUCAUGCCCCUUAUGUCCAGGGCUGCACACAUGCUACAAUGGCCGGUACAAAGAGCUGCGAUACCGCAAGGUGGAGCGAAUCUCAGAAAGCCGGUCUCAGUUCGGAUUGGGGUCUGCAACUCGACCCCAUGAAGUCGGAGUCGCUAGUAAUCGCAGAUCAGCAACGCUGCGGUGAAUACGUUCCCGGGCCUU
rnacentral:rRNA from 1 species